rnacentral:rRNA from 1 species
UGCAAGUCGAACGGUGAAGGGGGGCUUGCCCUCUGGAUCAGUGGCGAACGGGUGAGUAACACGUGAGCAAUCUGCCCCUGACUCUGGGAUAAGCGCUGGAAACGGCGUCUAAUACUGGAUACGAGCUGCGAAGGCAUCUUCAGCAGUUGGAAAGAUUUUUCGGUCAGGGAUGAGCUCGCGGCCUAUCAGCUUGUUGGUGAGGUAAUGGCUCACCAAGGCGUCGACGGGUAGCCGGCCUGAGAGGGUGACCGGCCACACUGGGACUGAGACACGGCCCAGACUCCUACGGGAGGCAGCAGUGGGGAAUAUUGCACAAUGGGCGGAAGCCUGAUGCAGCAACGCCGCGUGAGGGAUGACGGCCUUCGGGUUGUAAACCUCUUUUAGCAGGGAAGAAGCGUGAGUGACGGUACCUGCAGAAAAAGCACCGGCUAACUACGUGCCAGCAGCCGCGGUAAUACGUAGGGUGCAAGCGUUAUCCGGAAUUAUUGGGCGUAAAGAGCUCGUAGGCGGUUUGUCGCGUCUGCUGUGAAAUCCCGAGGCUCAACCUCGGGCCUGCAGUGGGUACGGGCAGACUAGAGUGCGGUAGGGGAGAUUGGAAUUCCUGGUGUAGCGGUGGAAUGCGCAGAUAUCAGGAGGAACACCGAUGGCGAAGGCAGAUCUCUGGGCCGUAACUGACGCUGAGGAGCGAAAGGGUGGGGAGCAAACAGGCUUAGAUACCCUGGUAGUCCACCCCGUAAACGUUGGGAACUAGUUGUGGGGGUCCAUUCCACGGAUUCCGUGACGCAGCUAACGCAUUAAGUUCCCCGCCUGGGGAGUACGGCCGCAAGGCUAAAACUCAAAGGAAUUGACGGGGACCCGCACAAGCGGCGGAGCAUGCGGAUUAAUUCGAUGCAACGCGAAGAACCUUACCAAGGCUUGACAUAUAGAGGAAACGGCUGGAAACAGUCGCCCCGCAAGGUCUCUAUACAGGUGGUGCAUGGUUGUCGUCAGCUCGUGUCGUGAGAUGUUGGGUUAAGUCCCGCAACGAGCGCAACCCUCGUUCUAUGUUGCCAGCACGUAAUGGUGGGAACUCAUGGGAUACUGCCGGGGUCAACUCGGAGGAAGGUGGGGAUGACGUCAAAUCAUCAUGCCCCUUAUGUCUUGGGCUUCACGCAUGCUACAAUGGCCGGUACAAAGGGCUGCAAUACCGUGAGGUGGAGCGAAUCCCAAAAAGCCGGUCCCAGUUCGGAUUGAGGUCUGCAACUCGACCUCAUGAAGUCGGAGUCGCUAGUAAUCGCAGAUCAGCAACGCUGCGGUGAAUACGUUCCCGGGUCUUGUACACACCGCCCGUCAAGUCAUGAAAGUCGGUAACACCUGAAGCCGGUGGCCCAACCCUUGUGGAGGAGCCGUCGA